rnacentral:lncRNA from 1 species
GAGCAGGAGGACGUGGAGGACCCCCUCUGCACUAAACUGAUGAAGAGUUAAAACUGCAGCAUUUCUUUCUUCCAGUCCACGAAAGAUUCCGGCAGCUCCGGGCCACAACCGCUCCGUGCCCGGGGUAGUUGGGAUGUUGGCAGUGGACACGGUUUCAGCAUAAUUUAACACAAUCUCUACCAAUUUGUUACACCUAAGUGGAGGCAGAUGUGCAUCCAUAUUCAUUUUGGAGGAACUUCAGGAAUUAUAACUUCAUCAGCCAAGGCUGCCCGCCGCUGCCGCCAGCCCGAGUUCCUGUGCAGGAGAAGGUGCCGUGCUGGGACAUUGGCCAAAUCCAGCCCUGCUCAAGUGCCGUGCCAUGAGGUCCUCAGCCUAGAGGAGAGGAGCCCUGUUCCAGGCAGAGGACAUGGAGACACCACAUCCCCUUCCUGGCCAGCGCAGCUCCAGUGCUACAGGCCCUUAUUUGCGUGUGGCCGCCUGCAAUGGAGAAGGACGGCGAGGGGAAGGAGGGCUGGCUGGGUCUGCACCCUGACAUGGAGCCUCAGGAUGCUCGGGGACAGGGACCAGCCUCUCUGUGGAUUCCUCACAGCGCCGGCGUCUCCCGCUCCGAUCCCGGCAAAACAAUGACAACCGUGCAGUGCAGAAAGUUAAUCCAGAGCCAGACGGGCAUUUUAAUAACUGGAAAGGUUAAAACAACCCCUCUCUGGCUGCGCACAGGCUCCCGCCAGCUCCCGCGCUCCUGCGGGUCUGGGAGACCCAGAGCACCAUGACUGUAUUGAUUCAAUUAUUCUCUACAAUGUAAUACUCUGCAUUUGUGUGAUAGCAACAAACAGAGUUGAAAGACAUACAAAAAUAAAUGAUCUGAAAGUUAAUAUGGCUGAAUGAGC